rnacentral:rRNA from 1 species
UACGGGGGGGUAAGCGUUGUUCGGAAUUACUGGGCGUAAAGGGCUCGUAGGCGGCCAACUAAGUCAGACGUGAAAUCCCUCAGCUUAACUGGGGAACUGCGUCUGAUACUGGAUGGCUUGGAUUCGGGAGAGGAAUGCGGAAUUCCAGGUGUAGCGGUGAAAUGCGUAGAUAUCUGGAGGAACACCGGUGGCGAAGGCGGCAUCCUGGACCGACAUUGACGCUGAACGGCGAAAGCUAGGGGAGCGAACGGG